AGUCGAGCGGCAGCGCGGGGGCAACCCUGGCGGCGAGCGGCGAACGGGUGAGUAACACAUCGGAACGUACCCCGUCGUGGGGGAUAACGAGUCGAAAGAUUCGCUAAUACCGCAUACGACCUGAGGGUGAAAGCGGGGGACCUGAAAGGGCCUCGCGCGAUGGGAGCGGCCGAUGUCCGAUUAGCUAGUUGGUGGGGUAAGGGCCCACCAAGGCGACGAUCGGUAGCUGGUCUGAGAGGAUGAUCAGCCACACUGGGACUGAGACACGGCCCAGACUCCUACGGGAGGCAGCAGUGGGGAAUUUUGGACAAUGGGCGCAAGCCUGAUCCAGCCAUUCCGCGUGAGUGAAGAAGGCCUUCGGGUUGUAAAGCUCUUUCGGCCGGGAAGAAAUCGGGCAGGUGAAUAAUCUGCCUGGAUGACGGUACCGGAAGAAGAAGCACCGGCUAACUACGUGCCAGCAGCCGCGGUAAUACGUAGGGUGCGAGCGUUAAUCGGAAUUACUGGGCGUAAAGCGUGCGCAGGCGGCUUUGUAAGACAGGUGUGAAAUCCCCGGGCUUAACCUGGGAAUGGCGCUUGUGACUGCAAGGCUUGAGUUCGGCCAGAGGGGGGUGGAAUUCCGC
rnacentral:rRNA from 1 species